CCAGGGGUCUGAAUACUUUCUGAUUGUAUAUCCGCCCUCCUCCUGUAGAAGCUCCAUGUGUUCCUGUUUGAGCUGUGUCUGGUUCUGACCCGCUCGGUGGAGGACAAAGAAGGGGGCGUGGUCUUUCAGGUGUACCGCCAGCCCCUCCCCACCGCCACACUCCACCUAGAAGACCUACCUGACGGGGAGGGUGGCGGUGGAGGGGCCUUCAGGGGGGCCUUCACCAGCGGCAACGACAAAGUACGUAACUGUCUCAGGGUGUCCAGUAGGGGGCGCUCCAAGGCCCAGUCUCACAGUCUCCAGGCCAACGACUCAUUCAACAAGCAGCAGUGGAUCUCCUGCCUGCGCCAGGCCAUGGUCCAAUCACGAGACAGGGACGCCCAGGUCAGCCAAUCACCGCUGUCGUCCCGCAUCUCCCCAGACUUCGCCCUGUACCACAUCGCAGAGCUGAGUCUGAGCUCAGACACCGAGAUGGCAGACCAGAGCAGUCAAUGACCCGAGCAGAGUGAUCCGUGACAGACAGACUAGACCAAUCCAAUCAAAGACUGAUCAACUAAUUGCUUAGCAAUAGUCCCAUGAUGCAUUUGGAGGUGGUAGUGAUGUUAAACAUGAAGGAUGUGUACACUGGUCAGUACAGUUUUAUAAGGCGAGAGAGGGGGGGGUGGGUGAUGUUAUGUAAUGUGCCUUCUAGCCUGGGUGCCAGGCUGUUUGUGCUCUCUUGUCUCAACUCCUUAUGGAAUCGUCAUGCAGAACAAUGACCACGGAGAUCUGGGACGAGGAGAACAUACUUUGGGAGCUCUGGAGUCAAUCAAGUUCCAAACAAUUCCAUCAUCAGACGUCUUCUGGAAUAGGAUGUGAAAAUGCCUAGAGAACGGUCUUUGUGCCAUAUACAUGUUUGAACUCCCUUGCGAUGUUAGCUGUGAUUAUAGAUCACAUUGAUAACCUGUACAGAUUCAAGGCAAUAUUGAUGAGUAAAUGUUAUGAGUGAAGUGGGUAAUUUUUUAAUUGUUUUUAUUUUAUUUUACUUGUUGCUAAUAAACUUAAAUAUCUAUGAA